rnacentral:rRNA from 7 species
AAGUAGGUAGCUUAACCUUCGGGAGGGCGCUUACCACUUUGUGAUUCAUGACUGGGGUGAAGUCGUAACAAGGUAACCGUAGGGGAACCUGCGGUUGGAUCACCUCCUUACCUUAAAGAAGC